GAUGAACGCUGGCGGCGUGCCUAAUACAUGCAAGUCGAACGAGUUCUUCGGAACUAGUGGCGGACGGGUGAGUAACACGUUGGUACCUACCCCGAAGUGGGGAAUAACUGGCCGAAAGGUCGGCUAGUACCGCAUAAUACCGUAAGGUUAAAGCAGUAAUGCGCUUCGGGAGGGGCCUGCGUCUGAUUAGCUAGUUGGUAGUGUAAUGGACUACCAAGGCGACGAUCAGUAGCUGGAUCGAGAGGUUGACCAGCCACACUGGGACUGAGAUACGGCCCAGACUCCUGCGGGAGGCAGCAGUAAGGAAUCUUCCACAAUGGACGAAAGUCUGAUGGAGCAACGCCGCGUGCAGGAUGACGGCCUUCGGGUUGUAAACUGCUUUUAUAUGGGAAGAUUAUGACGGUACCAUAUGAAUAAGGACCGGCUAACUACGUGCCAGCCGCCGCGGUAA
rnacentral:rRNA from 1 species